UCCGCUGGAUAUCAUGCGCAAUAGCCUGGUGACGAUGUUAGGCACGCUUAAGAAAACUUGAGAUAAUUUAAUUUCAACCAGAGAAUUAAGCCAUGUUCAGGGGGUCCGUGAUGGAAUGGUAAAAUCACGGAUCAGUGGAAUCAUCUCAAUCAACAGAUGUGACUUAAUAGUAAACCAGGAUGGACACAUCACCCCUCAGGAUUGUCCUGUUGGGCAAGUCAGGAUCUGGGAAAAGUUCAUCAGGAAACACCAUCCUGGGAAGGCAAGCUUUUGAAUCAAGAUUAAGCUUCAAGUCUGUGACAAAAACAUGUGCAGAGCAGACUGGUGUGGUCUCUGGAAGACAAAUCUCGGUGGUCGACACACCAGGAAUUCUCAGUACUGAAGAAGUAGAAGAGCAAAUUAAAGAAGUGUGUCAACAUGCCCUUAAAUCACCCAUUCCCUGUCUGUUUCUGGUACUACUCAAGGUAGACAGGUUCACUCAGGAGGAUCAGAAAAUAGUGAAGGAAAUUGAGAAGAUUUUGGGGGAUAUAGGAAUAGACAAGAGUUACAUUCUGUUCACACAUGGUGAUGCUCUCAAAGGCAUAAAAAUAGAGGAUUUCAUCUUUGAAGAUGAAGAGGGUGUGCUCCCAAAAGUUGUUCGGAGAUUUGGUGUGAAAUACCAUGUGUUCAACAAUGACACUGGAAGUCAAGAUCAGGUUGAGGAGCUUCUGACUAAAUCGGGACACCUGACAUCGAGUGUCCCAGAAAACACAGAAGACAGAAGAAUCGUGUUGCUGGGUAGAAGUGGAGUUGGGAAGAGUGCAUCAGGGAACACCAUUCUCGGGUCUGAACAGUUUAAGUCUGACUGUGGCUUUGGCUCCGUAACCACACAUAGUGAAGCCAAAACAGCACAGGUGGCAGGAAGGGAAGUUACUGUGAUAGAUACAGUUGGUCUUUCUGAUGAGGGAAACUCUGCUGAGCAUGUAUUUGAUGAAAUGUUGAAGGGGUUCGUACUCUCUGCAGCAGGGCCACAUGCCUUUGUCUUUGUGUUUGAGAUUGGGAGGAUAACACACAAUGACAGUGAGAUGCUUAGUCUACUUAAAAAGCUAUGUAAAGAUGAUGCUUUGAAAUAUGCAAUGGUUCUUUUCACUCAUGGUGAUAAACUCAAAAACCAACAAAUCGAAGACAAAAUACAGGCAAACAAGGAUCUAAAACAAAUAGUUGAGAUGUGUGGUGGCAGGUACUGUGUCUUUAACAACGAAGAUGCGACCAACAAACAGCAGGUCAGAAAUCUACUGGAGAGAAUAGAUGAGAUGGUAGCAGAAAACAAUGGCCAAUGUUACAGCUCUGAGCUGUUCAUAAUUGCAAACAAUUUAAGGCAUGAGAUUCAUGCAGGUCUAAGAUGGGUCGUGUCAAUGAUUAAGCGCUUCUUAACAUGGUUACGUGAUGUCUUUGAAAUUUUUUUACGUUUUUUUCACAACCAACAGUCCCCAGAAAUGGAAGGCCUACUGCCAAGGUAUGCUAUUGGCUAUUAGCUGCAAGAAUACCACCAACUAGAGUCUAAAAGACAUUAAGGCAGAUUAUGUCACUAAGGGCUCGAUUCAAUCUGUUUCGCCUAUUUUAGCCGACAUACAGCCGUGAACGCAGUCUCCGUAAACGCAGGAACAUUCCCUUUAAAUUUCAAUAGCAAUAUGGAUUGAAUUGAGCCCUAAGGCUGGGGUUCAACCAAAGGCACAUUUGUUAUCAAGCUUACUGCACAUAUGCCGUGUUAACAUUGUGACCGUCCUGAAUUUGUCUGAACCGCCUCGGUGCUUCUCCUGCCGAAGCGGCGCUUCCCCUUUAAUUCCCUAAUAAAUAGCCAGCAUCAGCUACGCAAAAGUGGUUGUGACAGUGGCGCGAGAGAGGAAGUGUUCAACCCUCAGCUUGGAAGCUCGUCGUACCCAGUUUGUUUUGUUGUAUUUAAAAGUGUAUACUGUAGCCGUGUCGCAAGAUCAACCAGUAUCUGAUCUACUUAUGUCUAUUGUUGGACUACGGAUCUACGUUGGUCUCCGCUGUUCUCUGUGGCCUUUCUCCGCUGGAGAUCUGUUGGCGGAUUGGAUUGUCUGACUGACUGACCACAACUUUUUUUGCAUAUGGUAUUUCAUUUGUUUUUAGUGUGAUUUUAUACUGUGUUGGUUUGUGUUCAGUUGUAGUUGAAGACUACUGAGAUAUCUGAUACGCUUUGUGUGUGGAACCGGAGUUUAUUACAAUCUGUGUGAAUGAGACCGAGUUUCAGCAUCACAUUAUGGACUGGGGUCACUUGGGUUGACUGGACUAAUUUACCGGGCUUUCUGUUUUAUGCUCGAGGUACGGGACAUUUACCAGUGAACCAAGGUUAUUGUUUUGUGACUUUUAUAUUGAUUGUGUGAUUAUUGUGAUAAUACAACGACUAGGUGAAAAAUCUGUCGAUGUGCCCUUAAGCAAGGCACUUAACCCUAAUUGCUCCUGUAAGUCGCUCUGG